ensembl:lncRNA
CCAAGAUGUUCAAAUGUUCAUAAAUGACCAGCAUGGUCGAAUAAUAAUAAGGCAGAACAGUUGAAACUGGAGCAGCAGCACAGUCAGGUGGAAGUUGAAACUGGAGCAGCAGCAUGGCCAGGUGGACUGGGGACAGCAAGGAGUCAUCAUGUCAGGUAGUCCUGGGGCAUGGUCCUAGGGCUCAGGUCAGUUGAAACUGGAACAGCAGCAUGGCCAGGUGGAUUGGGGACAGCAAGGAGUCAUCAUGUCAGGUAGUCCUGGGGCAUGGUCCUAGGGCUCAGGUCCUCCGAGAGAGAGAAAGAAAGAGAAGGAGAGAAUUAGAGAACGCACACUUAGAUUCACACAGGACACCGAAUAGGACAGGAGAAGUACUCCAGAUAUAACAAACUGACCCCAGCCCCCCGACACAAACUACUGCAGCAUAAAUACUGGAGGCUGAGACAGGAGGGGUCAGGAGACACUGUGGCCCCAUCCGAGGACACCCC